rnacentral:rRNA from 1 species
UACGGAGGGUGCAAGCGUUAUCCGGAUUCACUGGGUUUAAAGGGUGCGUAGGCGGGCAGUUAAGUCAGUGGUGAAAUCUUCGAGCUCAACUCGGAAACUGCCAUUGAUACUAUCUGUCUUGAAUACUGUGGAGGUGAGCGGAAGAUGUCAUGUAGCGGUGAAAUGCUUAGAUAUGACAUAGAACACCGAUUGCGAAGGCAGCUCGCUACACAAAUAUUGACGCUGAGGCACGAAAGCGUGGGGAUCAAACAGG